rnacentral:rRNA from 1 species
AGAAGCAUACUAAGGGCACACGGUGGAUGCCUAGGCAUACAGAGGCGAAGAAGGACGUGUAAAGCUGCGAUAAGCUGCGGGGAGCUGCAUACGAGCAAUGAUCCGCAGAUGUCCGAAUGGGGCAACCCAUCCGCCAAUUGGCGGAUACUCCUACGGGAGAGCAAACGAGGGGAACUGAAACAUCUAAGUACCCUCAGGAACAGAAAACAAUCAAGUGAUUUCCCAAGUAGCGGCGAGCGAACGGGAAGCAGCCCAAACCGGCUUCCUACGGGGAGUCGGGGUAGUAGGACCUGCAUAAUCGAAGCGAGCUUAAGUCGAAACUGCCUGGAAAGCAGUCCCACAGAAGGUGAAAGGCCUGUAGGCGUACGGCGAGUUUUGAGGCGGGUAUCCUGAGUAGCGCGAGGCCGGUGAAACCUUGCGUGAACCAGCCGGCACCAUCCGGUAAGGCUAAAUACAUCUGUAUGACCGAUAGUGAACCAGUACCGUGAGGGAAAGGUGAAAAGAACGCCGAGAAGGCGAGUGAAAUAGUACCUGAAACCGUGUGCUUACAAGCGGUCGGAGCCUCAAUUUAUUGGGGUGACGGCGUGCCUUUUGUAUAAUGAGCCUACGAGUUGCUCCUGUUGUGCGAGGUUAAGCCCCUAAGGGGUGGAGCCGUAGCGAAAGCGAGUCUGAAACGGGCGUGCAGUACAGCGGGGCAGACGCGAAACCAAGUGAGCUAUCCAUGGUCAGGGUGAAGUGGGGGUAAAACCCCAUGGAGGCCCGAACCGCCAGACGUUGAAAAGUCUUCGGAUGAACUGUGGAUAGGGGUGAAAGGCCAAUCAAACUUGGAAAUAGCUCGUACUCCCUGAAAUAUAUUUAGGUAUAGCGUCUGGUUUUGUCUCUCCGGAGGUAGAGCACUGAUUAGGCUAGGGCCCUUCACCGGGUACCAACCCUAGACAAACUCCGAAUACCGGCAGAGAGCCACCAGGCAGUCAGUGGCGGGGUGAUAACGUCCCGUCGCGAGAGGGAAACAACCCAGACCACCAGCUAAGGCCCCCAAAUGUGUGUUAAGUUGAUCAAAGAAAGUUGGGUUGCCCAGACAACUAGGAGGUUGGCUUAGAAGCAGCCAUUCCUUUAAAGAGUGCGUAAUAGCUCACUAGUUAAGCGGCCCGGCGUCGAUAAUACACGGGCAUUAAACACACUGCCGAAGCUGUGGUCCCCCGAUUUAUCGGGGGAGGUAAGGGAGCAUUCCAGGGGCGCAGAAGCCGGUCUGUGAGGACCGGUGGAGUCCCUGGAAGCGAAACUGUAGGCAUGAGUAACGAUAAGACGGGCGAGAAACCCGUCCACCAAAAACCCAAGGGUUCCUGAUCAACGCUAAUCGGAUCAGGGUUAGUCGAGACCUAAGGUGUAGCCGAAAGGCGAAGCCGAUGGCAAACCGGUUCAAUAUUCCGGUACCGAUUGUAGCGCCAGGCUAAGGCGUGACGCAGAAGUGACACUCCCGCGUGCUGACGAAUGCACGUUAAAGGGCGUAGGCUGGGAGGCAGGCAAAUCCGCCUCCCGUUACAGCUGAACCCCGACAGUACUCCGAGCCUGCGGGCAAGGAGAUAGUGGAGGUAAUCCCGCUGCCGAGAAAAGCGUCGUAGUUUGUUACAAUCGCUCGUACCCCAAACCGACACAGGUGGGUGAGGAGAGUAUCCUAAGGUGCUCGAGUAAUUCAUGGCUAAGGAACUAGGCAAAUUCGAUCCGUAACUUCGGGAGAAGGAUCCCCUGGGCGCCUUCGGGCGUUCGGGGCGCAGUGAAAAGGCCCAAGCGACUGUUUACCAAAAACACAUGUCUCUGCUAAGCCGUAAGGCGAUGUAUAGGGACUGACACCUGCCCGGUGCUGGAAGGUUAAAGAAGGGGGUUAGCUUCGGCGAAGCCCUUGACUGAAGCCCCAGUAAACGGCGGCCGUAACUAUAACGGUCCUAAGGUAGCGAAAUUC